UACGUAGGGACCGAGCGUUGUCCGGAAUCAUUGGGCGUAAAGAGCGUGUAGGCGGCUAUUUAAGUCCUGCGUGAAAUCCUGCGGCUCAACCGCAGACGGUCGUGGGAAACUGGAUGGCUAGAGUCCGGAAGAGGAGAAUGGAAUUCCCGGUGUAGCGGUGAAAUGCGCAGAUAUCGGGAAGAACACCCGUGGCGAAGGCGGUUCUCUGGGACGGUACUGACGCUGAGACGCGAAAGCGUGGGGAGCGAACAGG
rnacentral:rRNA from 1 species